rnacentral:tRNA from 1 species
GGUAGGAUGGCUGAGUUAAGCGGUGGAUUGUAGCUCCAUAUACAGAGGUUAAAACCCUCUUCUUAUC